UACGUAGGGGGCGAGCGUUGUUCGGAUUUACUGGGCGUAAAGCGCACGUAGGCGGGUCGUUAAGUCGGGGGUGAAAUCCUGGAGCUCAACUCCAGAACUGCCUUCGAUACUGGCGACCUAGAGUCCGGAAGAGGUGAGUGGAACUCCUAGUGUAGAGGUGGCAUUCGUAGAUAUUAGGAAGAACACCAGUGGCGAAGGCGGCUCACUGGUCCGGUACUGACGCUGAGGUGCGAAAGCGUGGGGAGCAAACAGG
rnacentral:rRNA from 1 species